UACGUAGGGUGCAAGCGUUGUCCGGAAUUAUUGGGCGUAAAGAGCUCGUAGGCGGUCUGUCACGUCGGCUGUGAAAACCUGGGGCUCAACCCCGGGCCUGCAGCCGAUACGGGCAGACUAGAAUUCGGUAGGGGAGACUGGAAUUCCUGGUGUAGCGGUGAAAUGCGCAGAUAUCAGGAGGAACACCGGUGGCGAAGGCGGGUCUCUGGGCCGAUAUUGACGCUGAGGAGCGAAAGCGUGGGGAGCAAACAGG
rnacentral:rRNA from 1 species